rnacentral:rRNA from 1 species
CCCUUAGAUGUUCUGGGCCGCACGCGCGCUACACUGAUGCAUUCAACGAGUUUCUUCCUGGUCCGAGAGGAAUGGGUAACCUUUUGAAAGUGCAUCGUGAUAGGGAUAGACUAUUGCAAUUAUUGGUCUUCAACGAGGAAUUCCUAGUAGACGUAGUUCAUCAGACUGCAUCGAUUACGUCCCUGCCCUUUGUACACACCGCCCGUCGCUCCUACCGAUUGAAUGCUCAGGUGAGCCAUUCGGACUUUCAUCAUGCUGGUUUCCAGUUUUGUUGAAGGAAAGUCUUGCGAACCUUAUCAUUUAGAGGAAGGAGAAGUCGUAACA